rnacentral:rRNA from 1 species
GACGAACGCUGGCGGCGUGCCUAACACAUGCAAGUCGAACGGGGGUAGCAAUACCUCAGUGGCGAACGGGUGCGUAACACGUGAAGAAUUUGUCCAACGGCGGGGGAUAGCCGGCCCAACGGCCGGGUAAUACCGCGUACGACCUCUGGGGGCAUCCCUGGAGGUGAAAGCCGCAAGGCGCCGAUGGAGAACUUCGCGGCCUAUCAGCUAGUUGGUGAGGUCAUGGCUCACCAAGGCGACGACGGGUAGCUGGUCCGAGAGGAUGACCAGCCACAUUGGGACUGAGACACGGCCCAGACUCCUACGGGAGGCAGCAGUGGGGAAUAUUGCGCAAUGGGCGAAAGCCUGACGCAGCGACGCCGCGUGUGGGAUGACGGCCUUCGGUUGUAACC